rnacentral:rRNA from 1 species
UACAGAGGUCUCAAGCGUUGUUCGGAUUCAUUGGGCGUAAAGAGCUCGUAGGCGGCUUGUCGCGUCGUCCGUGAAAACUUGGGGCUCAACCCCAAGCUUGCGGUCGAUACGGGCAGGCUAGAGUUCGGUAGGGGAGACUGGAAUUCCUGGUGUGGCGGUGAAAUGCGCAGAUAUCAGGAGGAACACCGGUGGCGAAGGCGGGUCUCUGGGCCGAUACUGACGCUGAGGAGCGAAAGCGUGGGGAGCGAACAGG